rnacentral:rRNA from 1 species
AGGUGCCCUAGCGGCGAACGGGUGAGUAACACGUGGGCAACCUGCCCCUAGCACUGGGAUAAGCCCGGGAAACCGGGUCUAAUACCGGAUACGACAUCGGAGGGCAUCCUCCGUUGUGGAAAGGAUUCUGGCUAGGGAUGGGCCCGCGGCCUAUCAGCUUGUUGGUGGGGUAACGGCCUACCAAGGCGACGACGGGUAGCCGGCCUGAGAGGGCGACCGGCCACACUGGGACUGAGACACGGCCCAG